CAAGCUUCCUUAUUUCAUAUUGCUGUCAAUCCCUGUUAUAAAUAAAGAAAUAGAUCUGAGAUCAUAUCAAUAAUUGCGUCAUUGGCUUGGGCGCGUUUUAUUCAUGCUGCAUGUUGGGGCCGGAGUUGGACAACAUUAUUUUUUUUUGGUUGGUUGGUUGGUCAUGCAAAAAACAAAGUAUUAUUAUGGAAGACAUUAAAAAAAGUAAGUGAUAUGGGGAUGAAGAGCGCGUUUGGCCACCAACCCAUUUGAAUUCGAGUAUUUUGACCAUACAAUUACAAUUACAAUUACAAAACAAGGGAUAAAAAUAGAAUUUAGAAGUAGAAGCUGGAGAAGCCGAACGCAUGAACCAUGACCCAUGAGUCUUUGGCGUGGCGGCAACUAUGAGAAGGAAAGUAAAGUGGGUUUGGGUUGGGAAUUCCCAAAACGUUGGGGGCCAAACCGGCACGUAGCAGUGGUAGGGACGCAGUUGGUAAGACUGACUCGUCAAACGUCCUCACCCACCAUAUCGACCAAAUUGACCAAGAAAAUUCACCAAAUUCCCACAGCAAAAUGUAAAUGGAGUCUUUAUCUUCAACAAGGUGGAUGGUUGGUUGCUGAAGUUUAAAAGCACGGCAUGUCAUCUGCACUUCCAUGACUACUUAUCUCCUUCAUUUUACAAUCGACAUUUUCAUCUUCACCAUCUCCAUCAUCAUCAUGGGACCUUCAAUUGUUUCUUCAUGUUUAAUUUUAUUCUGAACCAAGUGGACCCGCACCCGCCCUGUAUUAUCUUCUCUAACACAGAUCAGAUCAGGUACUUCUUAGAAAAAUAAAAAAAAAUUCAACUAUUCCUUCCCACAACAGGGCCAUUAAUUUUCAAAGUUUCAGCAUGCGUUGUGUCUAACUUCUCCUGCGCUACUGCACAAGUACAGGCCAAUAUGAAAUGAAUCACAAAAGAAAGAAAGAAAAAGAAGAAGAUUGCAGUACAAGAUAACAGAAAAAUAUGAUGUUGAUUGAGUUUCAAAAUCCUUCAUCCUUGCCAUGGAAUCGAAUUUGUUUUUGUCUUUUUGGUUGGAUAACCCCAUUCCGCAGGGAGGGAGGGACCAUGAUCCAUGUUGGUUUUACCAUUUUAACUUCCUUUUCUUUUUUACAAAAAAAUAAAUUUAUUAUUGUUUAUUUCCUUUUAUUAUCUUGGGGAAUGGACAAGUUCGUAAAUCAAUGUGAACAUGGGUGGGUGGUGAUCGUCUUUAACCGGGAAUCUCUACUUUAUAAGAAAAAUAUAUAUAUCCCCAGUUUGUCUA